rnacentral:rRNA from 1 species
AGAGUUUGAUCCUGGCUCAGGACGAACGCUGGCGGCGUGCCUAACACAUGCAAGUCGAACGGAACUGUUUUGAAAGAUUUCUUCGGAAUGAAUUUGAUUUAGUUUAGUGGCGGACGGGUGAGUAACGCGUGAGUAACCUGCCUUCAAGAGGGGGAUAACAUUCUGAAAAGAAUGCUAAUACCGCAUGACAUAUCGGAACCACAUGGUUUUGAUAUCAAAGAUUUUAUCGCUUGAAGAUGGACUCGCGUCCGAUUAGUUAGUUGGUGAGGUAACGGCUCACCAAGACCGCGAUCGGUAGCCGGACUGAGAGGUUGAACGGCCACAUUGGGACUGAGACACGGCCCAGACUCCUACGGGAGGCAGCAGUGGGGGAUAUUGCACAAUGGGGGAAACCCUGAUGCAGCAACGCCGCGUGAAGGAAGAAGGUCUUCGGAUUGUAAACUUCUGUCCUCAGGGAAGAUAAUGACGGUACCUGAGGAGGAAGCUCCGGCUAACUACGUGCCAGCAGCCGCGGUAAUACGUAGGGAGCAAGCGUUGUCCGGAUUUACUGGGUGUAAAGGGUGCGUAGGCGGCUUUGCAAGUCAGAUGUGAAAUCUAUGGGCUCAACCCAUAAACUGCAUUUGAAACUGUAGAGCUUGAGUGAAGUAGAGGCAGGCGGAAUUCCCCGUGUAGCGGUGAAAUGCGUAGAGAUGGGGAGGAACACCAGUGGCGAAGGCGGCCUGCUGGGCUUUAACUGACGCUGAGGCACGAAAGCGUGGGUAGCAAACAGGAUUAGAUACCCUGGUAGUCCACGCUGUAAACG